rnacentral:rRNA from 1 species
UAACCUACCUAUAAGACUGGGAUAACUUCGGGAAACCGGAGCUAAUACCGGAUAACAUAUUGAACCGCAUGGUUCAAUAGUGAAAGGCGGCUUUGCUGUCACUUAUAGAUGGAUCCGCGCCGUAUUAGCUAGUUGGUAAGGUAACGGCUUACCAAGGCAACGAUACGUAGCCGACCUGAGAGGGUGAUCGGCCACACUGGAACUGAGACACGGUCCAGACUCCUACGGGAGGCAGCAGUAGGGAAUCUUCCGCAAUGGGCGAAAGCCUGACGGAGCAACGCCGCGUGAGUGAUGAAGGUCUUCGGAUCGUAAAACUCUGUUAUCAGGGAAGAACAAAUGUGUAAGUAACUGUGCACAUCUUGACGGUACCUGAUCAGAAAGCCACGGCUAACUACGUGCCAGCAGCCGCGGUAAUACGUAGGUGGCAAGCGUUAUCCGGAAUUAUUGGGCGUAAAGCGCGCGUAGGCGGUUUUUUAAGUCUGAUGUGAAAGCCCACGGCUCAACCGUGGAGGGUCAUUGGAAACUGGAAAACUUGAGUGCAGAAGAGGAAAGUGGAAUUCCAUGUGUAGCGGUGAAAUGCGCAGAGAUAUGGAGGAACACCAGUGGCGAAGGCGACUUUCUGGUCUGUAACUGACGCUGAUGUGCGAAAGCGUGGGGAUCAAACAGGAUUAGAUACCCUGGUAGUCCACGCCGUAAACGAUGAGUGCUAAGUGUUAGGGGGUUUCCGCCCCUUAGUGCUGCAGCUAACGCAUUAAGCACUCCGCCUGGGGAGUACGACCGCAAGGUUGAAACUCAAAGGAAUUGACGGGGACCCGCACAAGCGGUGGAGCAUGUGGUUUAAUUCGAAG